UACGGGGGGAGCAAGCGUUGUUCGGAUUUACUGGGCGUAAAGGGCGCGUAGGCGGUCGUGACAAGUCACUUGUGAAAUCUCCGGGCUUAACUCGGAACGGUCAAGUGAUACUGUCGGACUAGAGUACAGAAGGGGCAACUGGAAUUCUCGGUGUAGCGGUGAAAUGCGUAGAUAUGCGGAGGAACACCAGUGGCGAAGGCGGCUCACUGGCCCGCAACUGACGCUGAGGCGCGAAAGCGUGGGGAGCAAACAGG
rnacentral:rRNA from 1 species